AUGGCGUCAGGACGAACGCUGGCGGCGUGCCUAAUACAUGCAAGUCGAACGGUCUUUCUAUGGAAGCUUGCUCCACUGAGAAGAUAGUGGCGAACGGGUGAGUAACACGUGGGUAACCUGCCCAUAAGAGGGGGAGUAACAUCCGGAAACGGGUGCUAAUACCGCAUAGUUUCUUGAUCGCAUGAUCGGGAAAGGAAAGACGGCCUUUGUGCUGUCGCUUAUGGAUGGACCCGCGGCGUAUUAGUUAGUUGGUGAGGUAACGGCUCACCAAGACGAUGAUACGUAGCCGACCUGAGAGGGUGAUCGGCCACAUUGGGACUGAGACACGGCCCAAACUCCUACGGGAGGCAGCAGUAGGGAAUCUUCCGCAAUGGACGAAAGUCUGACGGAGCAACGCCGCGUGAGUGAAGAAAAGGUUUUCGGAUCGUAAAACUCUGUUGUCAGAGAAGAACAAGUUGGAGAGUAACUGCUCCAGCCUUGACGGUAUCUGACCAGAAAGCCACGGCUAACUACGUGCCAGCAGCCGC
rnacentral:rRNA from 1 species